rnacentral:tRNA from 1 species
CUGCCGGGAGCGGCGCCCGGGGCCGGCAUCUGGCUGAUGGCCUGGUGGUGUUCCGGGUUGAAGGCCUGGCCGGUCGG